AACUGAACUGCAUGAGAGGGAGACAGAGAAAUGUUGCACAGCAGGCAAGAAACAUGACUUCCAGUUUCAUUUAAAGCACUUUUCUUCUCUUUUUUUUCUUUUUUCUUGACAGAAAAAUAAAUAAAAAGACAAGUGUGGUCUACAGUUCACAAAAAAAAGAAGUAGUUUUGCAAAUGGAGAUGCUGAAUCCAUAUUGUUUUAAUGAAUUGACAUUUCUGUGUUAGAAAACAACAUUUCACACUAUGCAAAAUAAAGCAGGAAACUUUCUGAGAGUGUCAGAUACUUGCUUAGUAUUAAAUGACACUGGAAAGAUGCUACUUAACAGAGGGGAGAGGAAGACUGAGAUUUACAUAGAUGAAGAUAGCUAAAUUUUGGUGUCCACCCAUAAGCCAAAUAGCCAUAGUCUUGUUCUAACCUGUACAGUAACAUAGUAAGGAUGGGAUUCAGCUGCCUAAACACAACUGGUAUGGCCUGCAGUCACUGCACUCAGAGGGCACAGGAGUCCUGAAGGGGCCUUAGGCUUUCCAAUAUCAUAGGGAUAUCUCAGAUAUUCUGUCUCUGAAGUGUGCUGAAAGUACAAAUUCUGGCAUCACCUACAACACUCAAGUGUAGGUGUUUAAAUAGAGAUCUCAGUCCAGCUCUUUCAUUGCUACCUGCCUUUCCAUGUAUUACAGUAAUUAUAAUGACAACCUGAUACUAGUAAUAAGCUGUACAGCUCUUACUAUCAAUCACAGGAAACAUUCUGUUAUCUGAUAAUUCAUCUUAAAAGAUACUGCCUGUCUCAGGGUUCAGAGCUCUGUUCUACACUAAUCAGAUAGAAUCCUUGUGUAGUAGAAGAAAUAAAGAACUGCCACUCUGGGUACCUAAGGCAAACCAGGACAUAAAUACAUACAUAUACAUAUGUAUAAAACUAUUUUGUUCCUGACUUACUCUUUUUUGUCAACUUGUUCGAGUCUCCUGUGAAAUUCAGCAGCAGCCUUUGUAAAGUUCACCACAGCAGAAAAAAGAGGAUCUAGGAAUGGAAGGAUUACAUGAACAACUUCAUGGUAUUUACUAAGCCAAAUAUACCUUUCAGUUGCCCAAUGGGAGAAGUACUACAUUUGUUUUACUGAUAUAAUAGCAUUAAUUUUGUUCUCUUUACAUAAUUGAUUGGUUUACCUAGUGCAGACUUUAAAGAACUGCACUACUAGCAAAUACCUUUUGCAAUGAGACCAAGAGUAAAGCAGAGUGCUUGGUAAAGCUUUCAUAGCCAUCCAUCUUCCCUCUGCUUUGCAAGCAAAAAAUUGGUUGUCGUUGCAAACUGAGAGCUCUGCUGUUUCCUGUUUAACAAAUGCACCGCAGUGCUCAGGUAUAAAAGGCCUGGCUUCCAUCAGAAAUACCAGCUGUUCCAGAAGGCUGUGGAAGAACAGCGGGAUUUCGCUCUAGGAGAAAGAUGUCCCAUUGACAGCACAACAGGAGAGUGUGAUACAUGCAUUGAACAGUGCUAGGUGAGGCACAAAAGGCACAGCUGUCAUGGCACACAGGGGCAGACACAGCAGAUGAAAGCAGCCAAGUGCUGUGCUUGCUGCACGCUGGAAUUGUGGCACGGGAGGUGUCUCUGUCACGUCCCUCCGUGCUGUCCUGCAGCACUGCCACUCAGAUCCCAGGGGUUUGCCUGACUGUGUGCAGGCAGGCUAGCAGGAAUGGCUGCUGCUUUUUCCUGCCCUGCCCCAUCCCAGUACGUCUGACACAUGUGGAAUAACUUAGUUAGAGAAGCAGCAGGACUCCUUUUAAUGGCAGUAGCAGCUGUGAUUAUUUUUUUGCAGAAGGCUCUAUUUAAUACAGACCUGGGAAAAGUAUCAAUUUAUGCAAGUAAUUUUUGUAGAAUAAAUCACAGGUGGAUGUUCCGAGGUUAACUUCUGGCCCCACCAAAACUCACCUCAAUUAGAAAGAAGGAAAGUUUAAAACUUGUACAUUUUGCCCACAAGUCUCAGAAAACUUUGGCUAAACCAGAGUAUCUUCUCUUCGAUUGCGCAGGAAGAUUGGACAUAUGAUUAGAUCAUCUCCUAAAUGCAGUCUUCUGUUGGCAACUAUUAUCCCUUCACUGUUUAUAGAUUUAUCACCCAAUUUCACGUGACAGGCUUUCUGUUCCCAGCCAAUUGAAAGCUGUUCCUCAGUCUCAUUUGCUCUUCUAUUUCUAGCAAAUUUAUUUAUUCAUCAUGAGCCUGCACUUGCUUCUUCUUGUCUUAGUACUGUUGUUUAGUUGAUGCAGUUGGAUGCACAGAUUUUAUGUAUGCAAGCUGUUUACAGACUGCAGCUCAGAGGGACACAUCGCCUUCUGAGGGUGAGAAUUCACACUUGUACAUAACCCUGUGGCAAGAGCUCUAAGUUUGCCAGGGGGCAUAGUUCUGCCCUGCUGACAUCAUGGCCAUACUGCAGCUGCAGAUUAUAUUUCAGAAGCAGUAGGAGGGGAUUUAAGAGAGGGAAAAAAAAAAAAAAUCAUCAUCUGAAAAAUAUGUACCAACUUCAUGUUCACUAGCUAUUCAGUGCUGUCAAUAUUGGUUAUUUUAGAAAACAUUACAGUUCUUUUUUCCCGCACUUGAAAACAUUAUUUCCUGAUAGCAUAUGACUGCAAGCACAUAUUUUAGGAAAAAAAAAAAAAAAAGGUUCCAGCCUUCAUUGUUGUAGAUGAACAGCUAAAAUGUGAAUCCAAAUGCAAAUAAAAACCUUAACCUAUUAUUUUAAAGGACAAUUAUAAGAUUUAGACUUAAAAUUUUUCUGACAUUCAGUGUUGUCAAGAAGCAAUUCUAUGAAAGGUGGAAUAAACUUUAAUUUUCACAGUAUUGUAAAACCUCCCUAUAUUAUUUAAUGUACUCUGGUGUAGUAGAAUAAAUAAAAAAUUAAAAAUUA